UAUAAAAAUAUAUUUAUAUUUCUAUAAAAAUAUAUAAAUAUAUAUAUUUUAAACCCAUACCUGUUUACCUCUACAGCCUGGAGAGUUCCAGUCAGAUCCACUGCUCUUCCCCUCCCACAUAGCCAGCAGUUUCCAUGGCAAUGGAUGAGCCUGCAGGUACUAGCAUGAACAAAGCACAGUUUCUGAUAAUAAAACUGCCUGGCAGGGGGAUGGGGAGGAUUUCAGCAGGACUGAUGCCUCCCCUCCUCACCCCUUGCCCCCCCCACCCCCGACUAGGGCUUUUCAUUUCUCUGCAGCUUCUUGUGAUUGAAAAGCUUGCCCCCCCCCCCAAAAAAAAAAAAAAAGAAAACAAGGUUGUAAGAACCUGAAAAAUUACAGAAACUGGCUAGAAACAGGUCCAGGGAAAGAACUGUAAAACAGAUGGUAUAUUUCAAUCCGUUUACUGUCAGGAAGUAGAUGUCUCCCAAAUACUGACCAUAUGGCACCCUGGCUCCAGAAACACUGUUCCGCUGCUAAAUUACACCACGAUAUAUAUAUUUCUUGGAAUCAACCUGGCCUUGCAGCCUAGAAGGAAAAAAUCCCAUGGUAGGUUGAUGAGCUGAUUUGCCUCUGGAAACUAAGCCAUGUGUUAAAAAAUCAAACGGCUCCGUCUUGCUGUGCACCAACUUUCCAGACCGCCCAUCCCUAGUUCAAACCCAUGUCCCCCACUCAGGAGUCAUGCGAUACUGAUGCUGUGACUCCUCAUUAUCCUCAGAACGUAGUCUCACCAUUGAUGAGAUGGGGGAAAAUAUCUGGGCAAAGACAGUGACUGGUGGAGAGGAUGUUUGAUACAGACCACCUAGUAGGACCUCGUGCAUGGCGGUAUGUUCGCCAUAUCAAAGGCAUCUGGGGAGUAAGCAAAGCGGGUUUCUUGCCUGAUUAUGAGCACUGCAGCAUAGCGCUGUGAGGUCUGUCCAUGCAACAGGUGCCGCUCUAGAUGCCAGGGCGCCAAAGGGGGCAGGACCAGGCACAGCUCGCUCUUCCUAGAGUCUAAUUCGAAGGGCAGGGUGGAUAACAAACAACUAACCAUUCCAGCAAAGUUCAAUUCCAACUGUCCACAGGAAAAAAGCACAAGUGGCUUUUAUCCCCAUGAGAAAAGGGUCAACAUCAGCCACAGUGAAAGAAACCCCAAAUCAAAACUCAAUGCACCAUUUCGCACUCAGCAGCCAGGCAAAGGAAAGAAAAUGAUUGCAUGCUGGCUCGGCCGCAAUCAUCCGUGGUCCCAGGGCCUGUAAUGGGCAAAAAUGAGACUGCAGAAUGGAAGCUGGUUAGAGACCAGAGCUGACACAGGAACACAGAGCAUGGUCGCCUCGCAUAAACUCAGCUGGGAACAGUCACACGGAUGUACCUCCACUUUUCCCUGUGCUGCCAUGUCUACGAGAGACUGGACGCUAAGUGCAUGUCAAUUUGGGGGUUAAAAUACAUCUUGGGGAGCGGGAAAAUUCGCAAACACAGAAACGGCAAGUAAUGAAGAUGGAUCAGUGCUCAUCACUGGGGAGUGGAGCCAGGUAGGAGAGAUACAGAUGGGAAGGAAAAUUCACUGUCUAAUGAAUAUUCUUUUUUUAAAAACGUAUUUUAUUUAUUUCUUCAUGAGACACAGAGAGAGAGGUAGAGACACAGACAGAGGGAGAAGCAGGCUCCCUGUGGAGAGACCAAUGCAGGACUUGAUCCCAGACCCCAGAUCAUGCCCUGAGCCAAAGGCAGACGCUCAACUGCUGAGCCACCCAGGUGCCCUCUAAUGAAUAUUCUUGUCUACUUUUUUGAUCUUUGUGUUGGGUGUAUUUACUAUGUAUUCAAAUAAAUCAAGGAACGGUUUCA
rnacentral:lncRNA from 12 species